rnacentral:rRNA from 1 species
GGAUUCCCCUAGUAACUGCGAGUGAAGCGGGAAAAGCUCAAAUUUAAAAUCUGGCGGUCUUUGUCCGUCCGAGUUGUAGUCUGGAGAAGUGCUUUCCGCGCUGGACCGUGUAUAAGUCUCUUGGAACAGAGCGUCAUAGAGGGUGAGAAUCCCGUCUUUGACACGGACUACCAGUGCUUUGUGAUGCGCUCUCAAAGAGUCGAGUUGUUUGGGAAUGCAGCUCAAAAUGGGUGGUGAAUUCCAUCUAAAGCUAAAUAUUGGCGAGAGACCGAUAGCGAACAAGUACCGUGAGGGAAAGAUGAAAAGCACUUUGGAAAGAGAGUUAAACAGUACGUGAAAUUGCUGAAAGGGAAACGCUUGAAGUCAGUCGCGUCUGCCGGAACUCAGCCUUCCUCUUGGUUGGUGCACUUUCCGGUAGACGGGUCAGCAUCGAUUUUGACCGUCGGAAAAGGGCUGGGGAAAUGUGGCACCCUUCGGGGUGUGUUAUAGUCCUCAGUCGCAUACGGCGGUCGGGAUCGAGGAACGCAGCGCGCCGCAAGGCAGGGGUUCGCCCACUUACGCGCUUAGGAUGCUGGCAUAAUGGCUUUAAACGACCCGUCUUGAAACACGGACCAAGGAGUCUAACAAACCUGCGAGUGUUUGGGUGGAAAACCCGAGCGCGUAAUGAAAGUGAAAG